rnacentral:ncRNA from 2 species
AAAUAAUGAAAGUGAUGAACCUUAGCCUGUAUCUGGACACUUGGGUUAAGGGGAGCUGCUAGUGUAACCGGCUUUAUUUUUU